rnacentral:rRNA from 1 species
ACUCAAAGGAAUUGACGGGGGCCCGCACAAGCGGUGGAGCAUGUGGUUUAAUUCGAUGCAACGCGAAGAACCUUACCUACCCUUGACAUCCCUGGAAUCCUGUAGAGAUACGGGAGUGCCGCAAGGAACCAGGAGACAGGUGCUGCAUGGCUGUCGUCAGCUCGUGUUGUGAGAUGUUGGGUUAAGUCCCGUAACGAGCGCAACCCUUAUCCUUAGUUGCCAUCAUUUAGUUGGGGACUCUAAGGAGACUGCUGGUGAAGAACCGGAGGAAGGCGGGGACGACGUCAAGUCAUCAUGGCCUUUAUGGGUAGGGCUACACACGUGCUACAAUGGUCGGUACAGAGGGAAGCCAACUCGCGAGAGGGAGCCAAUCCCAGAAAGCCGAUCGUAGUCCGGAUUGAAGUCUGCAACUCGACUUCAUGAAGUCGGAAUCGCUAGUAAUCGCGAAUCAGAAUGUCGCGGUGAAUACGUUCCCGGGCCUUGUACACACCGCCCGU